AAGACUACACUUUCAGGGAUCAUUUCUAUAGUUCGUUACAAAUUGAUGAAGGGGUGCAAGGCGAGAACUAGAGUAAGGGCCCCCCCAAACUCUG
rnacentral:snoRNA from 1 species